rnacentral:rRNA from 1 species
UACGGAGGGUGCGAGCGUUGUCCGGAUUUAUUGGGCGUAAAGAGCGUGUAGGCGGCCAGGUAGGUUUGCUGUGAAAACUCGAGGCUUAACCUCGAGCUGUCGGCGGAAACCAUCUGGCUAGAGUCCGGAAGAGGAGAAUGGAAUUCCCGGUGUAGCGGUGAAAUGCGCAGAUAUCGGGAAGAACACCCGUGGCGAAGGCGGUUCUCUGGGACGGUACUGACGCUGAGACACGGAAGCGUGGGGAGCGAACAGG